UCGGAUCGGAGCCUGCAACCCGGCUCCGUGAAGCUGGAUUCGCUAGUAAUCGCGCAUCAGCCAUGGCGCGGUGAAUACGUUCCCGGGCCUUGUACACACCGCCCGUCAAGCCAUGGGAGCCGGGGGCGCCUGAAGUGCGGUACCGCGAGGGCCGCCCAAGGGCGAGACCGGUGACUGGGGCUAAGUCGUAACAAGGUAGC
rnacentral:rRNA from 1 species